UGAGGAAUAUUGCACAAUGGGCGAAAGCCUGAUGCAGCAACGCCGCGUGAGUGAUGAAGGCCUUUGGGUCGUAAAACUCUGUCCUUGGGGAAGAAAAAAAUGACGGUACCCUUGGAGGAAGCCCCGGCUAACUACGUGCCAGCAGCCGCGGUAAUACGUAGGGGGCAAGCGUUAUCCGGAAUUAUUGGGCGUAAAGAGUGCGUAGGUGGUUUUGUAAGCGUAGGGUGAAAGGCAGUAGCUCAACUAUUGUUAGCCCUGCGAACUGUGAGACUUGAGUGCAGGAGAGGAAAGUGGAAUUCCUAGUGUAGCGGUGAAAUGCGUAGAUAUUAGGAGGAACACCAGUGGCGAAGGCGACUUUCUGGACUGUAACUGACACUGAGGCACGAAAGCGUGGGUAGCA
rnacentral:rRNA from 1 species